UGGACCCAGCCCAAAUAAUCUUUUAGAGAAAAUUUAGACACAAGAAAUCAUAUUAUAUAGUAUUGUCCCACCUAACAAAAAUUACUUAUGAUCAGUGUUGCUUUACAUGUUUUCAGAAUAAUCACUGUUUCUUUCCUUUCAACAGUUUUGUCCCAAAGUGCUGCUAACUGUGUGCUGGUGUAUUGUGCUGCCUAUGGGAAAUGGUGUUGGAUCAGCAGAAAACUGGAAAUCUUAUUUGUUUCCCUCCAGACUAUGUGUCCAAAACAUGAAAAUAAUGAUGAAC
rnacentral:lncRNA from 1 species